GUGCCAGCAGCCGCGGUAAGACGAACCGUGCGAACGUUAUUCGGAUUCACUGGGCUUAAAGGGCGCGUAGGCGGUGGACCCAGUCCGGGGUGAAAUCUUUCGGCUUAACCGGAAAAGUGCCUUGGAUACUGGUUCACUCGAGGGAGGUAGGGGCAUGUGGAACUUCCGGUGGAGCGGUGAAAUGCGUUGAUAUCGGAAGGAACGCCGGUGGCGAAAGCGACGUGCUGGCCCUCUUCUGACGCUGAGGCGCGAAAGCCAGGGGAGCAAACGGGAUUAGAAACCCCAGUAGUCC
rnacentral:rRNA from 1 species